CUUCAAAAUACAAUUCCAAAAGGAGCCAAAAAUGGGGUAAAAGAAGAUAAGAACAUAACUAACAAGUGGUUGGAAAUUCUCAAACGGACUUUACCUGCAAGAUUAGGAGUUGUGUCAAGGUCAUAUAAUUAUGGAAACAAUAAUAGGAAGCAAAGAUAGAUACAAAUUACAAAACCUUCAUGGGCAUACAGAUAGUGAACACUGAAAGAAGUAAAUAUCCUAAGUAUUUUUUUUGUUUUUUUUUUUGGAGGGAAAUGGAAAAGAAUAGAAUUGAAAUGAUAUGAACAAAAUAGAAUCGCUACAGAUACACAGUUCCUGUUUUUUCUACCCUUCUAUGCAUCUCCAAGUGAACACAGCACAGGCACUCUCAACUAUACUGAAGACUUGGGUAUUUUGAACUGUUUCUUGAGGAACUGGGAUGCCUCCGAGUCACCCCUAUGACAUAAUAUUCUCAAUAAAGUCUGGGUAUCACCACCUAUUUUGCCUCCACCACUCUGUCUUUCCACUCCACUUGCAGAUUUCAGGUCAUCGAUCAAUUCUCGAGUCUCAUAGGCAUGCAACUUAAUUACAUGACGAACUCGUGCUAUAUGAUUCUCCACUACUCCUCUAGGAAGCCCAUCUCCUCCGGAAAUAAAAAAUUCCUUCAAAACUUCCAAAUCUUCUUCCAGUAAUUUUGCAUCAGCUGGGGAGAAAACUCUUGAUGGUCCUCCAUCUAGUAUUACACGAAGUAAGCCAUCCAGCGAAGCCUGAAGGAGACUCGUCACAAUGCGAUCCCUGAGGGGUUCCACAAUAAUAUCACAUAGUUGAUUUAGUUCCGUAUCAAUUGGUUCAAUUAGUGCUUCUAGUCUGGACUGAGAGACGCUAGGUCUAUAUAGAUUUUCAAUGAAUGGCUCCCUCAAGUCCCAGAAGAUGAUUUUAGUUCCGGUGAAUUCACAAAUGCGGUCAAUAGCAGCAUUUAUGUCUUUUCUACUCCCAUCAAAUGUACCCUUCUGCUUGAAACUUGUGGACUUCUCAUCUAUGGAUUUUCUGAUAAAUUGUUCACGAGGCUUCUUCCUUGUCCAUUGCUCCCAAAUGCUAUCUUCUAACUUAUUCAGUUGACUAAUUGCAUAAUAAAGUGUAUUCAACUGAACACAAAGAGUUCGAGCGGUCUGGACAUUGAUUUCCCUUGGCUUUGUCUCAUCAGGCAGCCUAGAAUCAAAUAGUUCCUUCUUUACAAAAGCCUUUAUUCCAGCUUCCUUUCUGUAUCGUGUGAGAACAGGGACAGGUGGAAUUAAAUCUUCUUUGGAUGCCAACUUUUCAACAACAUGAUUUGAAUAUACUUGAAAUGCAUUGUCAAUGCCCCGAAACAGCCCAUUCAAUUCUGAAGGCCUCAUUGGAACUUUAAGAGCAAAAAAUUGAUCAACUGUCUCUUCCACAAUCCUAUAUACUUCGACAAUUGAACUCCCAUGCCGCUGUUGAGGAGAUAUUGGGUUCCAUCUCUCUUGUUGAAUGGUGCGCUCAACCCAACCUAAAAUUCUUCCAAGUUGUGAAUUGACCCAUCGCAUCACCAGUGUUCCAGAUAUAGAUUCAACCUGGUAUGGAGUUAAUUUCCUGAAAUUGACUUCAACAUUCCCCUCUUCGCAGGCAGAUGCGAUAAGUGACAUUAUAUACUGCUCAAGACUAUCAGCAGCCGGAAACACUGAUACAACAUCCUCAGUCAGAUGUUCAGCACCAUCGAGAAAUGGUUUCAAUUUGAUCCCAUAAAGCCUGUGAAGAAGCGAUGCUGAAAUUAUGAUUGCUUGUGGAUGUCUCUGAGACAAAAUUGGCGUGAAUAUGGUUGAUUCUUUUUUCAGAAGCUUCUUGGUUUCUUCUGCAAGUAAUGCUAGAGAAUGCUCAUCCAUUGUGUCUAAUUUUUCAACAGCUUGCAGAGACUGCAUUAAGAAGAAGAGGAAGGAGGGAGAGAGAGAGAGAUACAGUAAUUUUAAAGAUAAUUAAAUAAGUCAAAAUCAAUAUUCACAAUUCACUAGUUUCAUAUAACUUAAAAUUUGUUCUGAAGGCAGCCAGAAACUGGAAUGAACAAUAUUUUACAUAUAUCACAGCCAUAGCAUGCAUAAAAUACAUACAAGGUUGCUACCGUGCAAAACACAAUUUUUUUUUCCAAAGUUGUAAUAAAUAAAUUAUUAACCUCUUGAAAAAUUUGAAUCCCUUUAUCUUAACCUGAUCUCUUCCUAUUCUCUGAAGUUGUGGAAGGGAAAUAAUUGGAUUCAUAUUCUCAAUCUUAAUAGAGAAAGAAACUCUGAUAUUGCAAUCCUCCCAAGUUUCAGCAACUAUAAUGGAUCAUUUGGCUGCAGAAAUCUAUAUGAAGAAAAUAAAUCAAACAUUUAAGAAAUUAAUGUGUUGGAUAUCUAAAAUAGUAUCGGAGUUGACGGUUAUAGUGUUGUUUUUGGUGUUGGCUCCUAUGUUGUAUAUCUAUGUUUAUGUAUGCCCCACUUGUGAAGGGGAAGUUCAGCAAUUACAUAUAGUUUAAAAAAUAAAGUUUGGUGUUUCCUAAUUUGCUUUAAUUUUAGAUCUCAUGCUCUAUCAUCAGCUACCAAGUGGACCAGCUAGAAUCCAUGAUGUUAGAACACUUACCCUCGUAAAUGCAUUCUUUAUGGAGGUUGAUAUGUAUGAUUCUAUCUGAUCCCGAUCUGUGGCAGAUGUAGAUUGUAUUACCUGAUCAGAUUCUUCCAAAAGAAGCCUCCGAGUAACCAUUGCAACUAAUACCACAUCCUCCAUAGUUGCCCACUCCUCAGCAAAGUGCUUAUGGUAGUCUGCUAGCUGCUUAUCAGCCCAUUUCUGAAUUGGUGACAAAAAAGACAGCAAGAAAGAUAAAUCUUCGCCUUCAAAUUUGGAACGCAAACUCUUCAAGUGCAAUCUCUCCUGUGGGCCCCGUUGUUCCUUCAAUGGUAUCUUCUUCAGCUGUUCAAUGACGUGUUGCAAAAGUCCAUGCUCUUGUGUGAUAACAUACUGACGAAAUAAUACCCAUGCAUAGCAUGUGUAAUGGAUAGUCUCUGUAACUCCUAGAACACGCCAGGUUGACUUCAAUAGCUCAAGUAUUUCUUCCACUUCCUCUGUCAGCUUCCCCUCAUCUAAAAUGUCAAAGACACUGAGAAGGAGUUUCUCAUAUAAUCUAACAUUAAGAUGAUAGCCAUCUGCCCAGUGGCAUACUUCACCAGUUAAGUCACCCCGAGCUGGCCUCUCAGCAAGUGGAAUAGCAAUCUCUCUGAGCGAUCGCAAGCAUUCUGUUCGUUGGACUUCCGCCGCAGAUGAUGGACGAAACUCAGAUUCCUCAAUUUUUGCCAAAAGAAUCCUCAAGUCGCUUGCCUUACGCCCAGAUUCACCAAAUCCAACAACUGGGUGAUUGAUAAGACCCUCCUCCAGCAUGAAUAACUGCCUUUUUUGCCACCGUAUGUAUGCUUUCUUGUCAGAAAAUUCUGUCCGUGAAAUACAACAUAGCAACUCCAAAGGAAUCAAUAGAGUGUCCAUUCUUUUUCCAACUUUUCCAGCAAGAGCAUUGAGCAGCCCUUGUCUUGUUCUAAUGUCCAUUGCCUCAGAUAUCUCCAUGUGAGCACGCAAGAUCUCUAACAAACCAUUCAAUCCAGGUGUACGUUCAGACUGCACAACAUUUUCACUUUUACUACGUCCAAGCUUCCUCAUCAACCUAGACUUUUUGUCUUUCUUUUUUUCCUUUGAAGGAACUAUUAGGCCCCCUGCUGCCCCAGCACACGCUAAGAGGACUUCAUAUGCAGUUUCACGAAGGUCAUCAUCUGUGAUACCAGUUGCAAAAGCUGGCAAUUUGGGCAUGAGAUCAGCAACAUCACUUGUAUUACGUCUCAGAAUCCUGGCAACAUCAACUUCCUCAAGUUCAUCUUCAUCAUACUCAAAAUCUUCAAUGUCAUCCACAGUCAGUUCUCGGACAUCAGUGGAGUUAAAGGACUCUGACUUCUCUACACUUGACAAUGACACAACAGGAGAUGGUGCAAAAACAGGGGCUGUUGCAAUAACAGGGGCCAGUGUUGAAACCAGAAUGGGUGGAGGUGCCCUUUUCGGAGGUGAUCCUGAAGAUUCAGGAUUCGUGACUAAGAAAAAUUCAUCUGUGGAACCCCCAUUAUUCAUCUGGGGUAAGUCACUGUUAUCAUGGUAAUCUCUUAUUGCCUCUGAGAGCUCAAGCAUUCCACCUUUUCUCGCACAAUUGAGAACAUGAUCUACACUGACUUGGUCUAGAUCCACGUCAUCCAGAGUAACAGCACCAGGAGGCAUCACAACUUUCUUAAUUAAGCUACCAGAAAGUAAAAAAUCUAAAAGUAUGCGCCGGUCCCGCCGGUAUCUCUGUAGAAGCUGAACAGCAGUCUCCUCUUCCAUGGCAAAUUGAACAGGGAAUAGUUGGCAAAUUCUACAAAAUUUCACAGCUCUGCAAUUACUGGCAAAUUCUACAAAAUUUCACAGCUCUGCAAUUACGCUAUCUUCAGAACUUAAAAAUAAGAAAUCAGCGGAAGAAGCAUACUAAAGAGGAUGAUCCUUGAGAAAUGCAGAGAAAACUCAAUGUGAAAGCUGAAGAAAGUAAAAAAUGAGAACUGAAUUUGAAAAGGUCAGUUCUUGAGACUCUAAGGUUCCAUUGGGAUUUCGAGAGAGAGAGAGAGAGAGAGUG
rnacentral:misc_RNA from 1 species